UGGGGAAUAUUGGACAAUGGGCGAAAGCCUGAUCCAGCCAUGCCGCGUGUGUGAAGAAGGUCUUCGGAUUGUAAAGCACUUUAAGUUGGGAGGAAGGGCAUUAACCUAAUACGUUAGUGUUUUGACGUUACCGACAGAAUAAGCACCGGCUAACUCUGUGCCAGCAGCCGCGGUAAUACAGAGGGUGCAAGCGUUAAUCGGAAUUACUGGGCGUAAAGCGCGCGUAGGUGGUUUGUUAAGUUGGAUGUGGAAGCCCCGGGCUCAACCUGGGAACUGCAUCGAAAACUGGCAAGCUAGAGUACGGUAGAGGGUGGUGGAAUUUCCUGUGUAGCGGUGAAAUGCGUAGAUAUAGGAAGGAACACCAGUGGCGAAGGCGACCACCUGGACUGAUACUGACACUGAGGUGCGAAAGCGUGGGGAGCAAACA
rnacentral:rRNA from 1 species